ACCCCCCGAAUUGUAGUCUAGAAAGGCGCGAUCGGCCGCGUCCGCCGCUCAAAUCCCCUGGAACGGGGUAUCGGAGAAGGUGAGAAUCCUGUGCCGUGGCGGUUCGCGGUCGCACGAUGCGUCCUUGCAGAGUCGGGUUGCUUGGGAUUGCAGCUUGAAUUGGGUGGUAAAUUCCAUCUAAAGCUAAAUACUGGCGAGAGACCGAUAGCGAACAAGUACCGUGAGGGAAAGAUGCAAAGAACUUUGAAAAGAGAGUUAAAGAGUGCUUGAAAUCGACAAGGGGAAACCCGUUUGCGCCCGGUUUGUACGCGUGAAUUCAGCCGUCUCCGCGGAGGCGGUGCACUUUGACGCGUCGAGUCAGCGUUUGCUGCGCGGGUGUGAGACGCUGUUUGUUGAGGCUUCGGCGAGGCACUCGGCAUGGCACGCGCGCGGCGAUGGUUGACGGAACGGGCGCAACCGACCCGUCUAGAAACACGGACCAAGGAGUCUGACACGUGUGCGAGUACCCGGGUGGCAAGCCCGCGUGCGGAAUGAAAGUGAAGGGCGUGUUCGACGCCAACCGACCUUGAUCUUCUGUGAAGGGUUUGAGUGGAGCACACUUGUCGGGACCCGAAAGAUGGUGAACUAUGCCUGAGGAGGGUGAAGCCAGAGGAAACUCUGGUGGAGGCUCGUAGCGAUACUGACGUGCAAAUCGUUCGUCGAACUUGGGUAUAGGGGCGAAAGACUAAUCGAACCAUCUAGUAGCUGGUUCCCUCCGAAGUUUCCCUCAGGAUAGCUUGAGCGCGUACGGUUUUGU
rnacentral:rRNA from 1 species